AUGGCACGUGUGUUGAAGUGAACAGUUUUGCCUCUUCAACGAUUUGUUAAUGGCCGCAAUGAACCGUACCGUUUCGAGAAAUGGUCUUAUCCACUCAAUAUAAUUGGAUGAUACGGAAAUGUCCACAUGUACACGUUAUCAAUAUGAAACUCGAUUCAUCUAACCGAUUCUUCGGACCAAUUAGUAAUGUUGACGUACGUAACAAAGGUAAUUUGAUCCUUUUCUGUUAGUUUCCUCUUAUCGUGAAGCUAAAUGAAUGUAUAUUAGAUUUUGAUCCAUGUUUUAGAUGCUGCACGGUCCAGCCUGCACCGAAUCAAAUGAUCUCCCCUUUGCCCUCUCCUUCUACAGGGAGUCCCCAGUAUGUUGUAGGUCCAAAAGGUCUCACUCAGCAAAGAACGUUCGCAUAUCUGAGAAGGACCCCUCGGUCGCUCUGUGCCUCCGGUUUUCUCGUCAUUGCUGAGGAGAUUUAUUGAAGGGAGGCGUGGUUGGCUAUGGUUAGAGGAUUAGAAGUUUAUUGAUGUAUCUACUAUGUAAACGCAUACUAGUUACUGAUCUAUCUAAUAAUGUAUAAACUUUACUAAAGACUUUUACAUAGUAGAUAUCUACGAUGAAUAAACCGAUAGUGGUUUUGGU